AAGUUAUAGAUGAUAUCUAUUUAUGUCCUGACCUCCAGUAACAGCAGACACAUGAGAGGCAAAGUUCUGUGAGCGCGCGAAAAUCGAUCAUUUUCAGUUCAAAUCAAUCAGUGGCGGUUGGAGAGUCAGCUGCUCAACGGAACCUCGGCGUCCGGCUUUACCGAAGGCUACUUCAUUUCUGGAUACAAAUGUCACACCGCAGUCUCGAGAACACAAAAGGAGGAACAGAAAUGAAAAGGUCUCAAGCCAAAAUACGAGAGGUUGAAAAUGCACCUUGUUCAGAGACAUCUCCAGCAAAAAUGAGAAAGAAUUUCAGACCAGCUUCUGGAGACAUGUCUUAUGGGUUUGAAACUGCUUUGGCAGGCAAGUUUGUAUAUAUACAACUCUUUUUAUUGAUUAUGUGGUAUUGUGUAGCAUAUAUUUUCAUAACAGCUGAUUGAAUUACCUCAUCAUUUUAACAUAACUGUUUCACAUCGAUUGUUGUAGGCAUAAUAAACUUGUGAGGUAACUUAAUGCAUUUUUUCCCCCAUUUUAGAGGCUAGCCGAGAGGUCAGUCUCCUGUUUUCCAAGUACUUGGAGGUCUUGAGGUAAUUGAAUGAAUAUGUAUACCACCUCUGUGUCUCAUCACUUGUGUAUCUACAAAGUUUUCUCUCAAACACUGAUUUUACAUGUUAUCUUCUAAGGGAAAGAGCUGCUGUGGAUGCUUCACAGCUUGGGGAACUGGAAGGUAUUCUUACUGAAGCCAGGAGUUUAGAGGCUAAUCUUAAAGAAAAGAAGGAAC